UACGUAGGGACCAAGCGUUGUCCGGAAUCAUUGGGCGUAAAGGAGCGUGUGAGCGGCUUGUUAAGUCUUGCGUGAAAUCGUCGGGGCUCAACCCCGAGCGGUCGUGAGAAACUGGCAGGCUAGAGUGCGGAAGGGGCUACUGGAAUUCUCGGUGUAGCGGUGAAAUGCGUAGAUAUCGAGAGGAACACCUGCGGCGAAGGCGGGUGCGUGGGCUGAC
rnacentral:rRNA from 1 species